rnacentral:rRNA from 1 species
GGGUUGUGAGGUUAAGCGACUAAGCGUACACGGUGGAUGCCCUGGCAGUCAGAGGCGAUGAAGGACGUGCUAAUCUGCGAUAAGCGUCGGUGAGGUGAUAUGAACCGUUAUAACCGGCGAUUUCCGAAUGGGGAAACCCAGUGUGUUUCGACACACUAUCAUUAACUGAAUCCAUAGGUUAAUGAGGCGAACCGGGGGAACUGAAACAUCUAAGUACCCCGAGGAAAAGAAAUCAACCGAGAUUCCCCCAGUAGCGGCGAGCGAACGGGGAGGAGCCCAGAGCCUGAAUCAGUGUGUGUGUUAGUGGAAGCGUCUGGAAAGGCGCGCGAUACAGGGUGACAGCCCCGUACACAAAAAUGCACAUAUUGUGAGCUCGAUGAGUAGGGCGGGACACGUGGUAUCCUGUCUGAAUAUGGGGGGACCAUCCUCCAAGGCUAAAUACUCCUGACUGACCGAUAGUGAACCAGUACCGUGAGGGAAAGGCGAAAAGAACCCCGGCGAGGGGAGUGAAAAAGAACCUGAAACCGUGUACGUACAAGCAGUGGGAGCCUCUUUAUGGGGUGACUGCGUACCUUUUGUAUAAUGGGUCAGCGACUUAUAUUCUGUAGCAAGGUUAACCGAAUAGGGGAGCCGAAGGGAAACCGAGUCUUAACUGGGCGUUAAGUUGCAGGGUAUAGACCCGAAACCCGGUGAUCUAGCCAUGGGCAGGUUGAAGGUUGGGUAACACUAACUGGAGGACCGAACCGACUAAUGUUGAAAAAUUAGCGGAUGACUUGUGGCUGGGGGUGAAAGGCCAAUCAAACCGGGAGAUAGCUGGUUCUCCCCGAAAGCUAUUUAGGUAGCGCCUCGUGAAUUCAUCUCCGGGGGUAGAGCACUGUUUCGGCAAGGGGGUCAUCCCGACUUACCAACCCGAUGCAAACUGCGAAUACCGGAGAAUGUUAUCACGGGAGACACACGGCGGGUGCUAACGUCCGUCGUGAAGAGGGAAACAACCCAGACCGCCAGCUAAGGUCCCAAAGUCAUGGUUAAGUGGGAAACGAUGUGGGAAGGCCCAGACAGCCAGGAUGUUGGCUUAGAAGCAGCCAUCAUUUAAAGAAAGCGUAAUAGCUCACUGGUCGAGUCGGCCUGCGCGGAAGAUGUAACGGGGCUAAACCAUGCACCGAAGCUGCGGCAGCGACACUAUGUGUUGUUGGGUAGGGGAGCGUUCUGUAAGCCUGUGAAGGUGGCCUGUGAGGGUUGCUGGAGGUAUCAGAAGUGCGAAUGCUGACAUAAGUAACGAUAAAGCGGGUGAAAAGCCCGCUCGCCGGAAGACCAAGGGUUCCUGUCCAACGUUAAUCGGGGCAGGGUGAGUCGACCCCUAAGGCGAGGCCGAAAGGCGUAGUCGAUGGGAAACAGGUUAAUAUUCCUGUACUUGGUGUUACUGCGAAGGGGGGACGGAGAAGGCUAUGUUGGCCGGGCGACGGUUGUCCCGGUUUAAGCGUGUAGGCUGGUUUUCCAGGCAAAUCCGGAAAACCAAGGCUGAGGCGUGAUGACGAGGCACUACGGUGCUGAAGCGACAAAUGCCCUGCUUCCAGGAAAAGCCUCUAAGCAUCAGGUAACAUCAAAUCGUACCCCAAACCGACACAGGUGGUCAGGUAGAGAAUACCAAGGCGCUUGAGAGAACUCGGGUGAAGGAACUAGGCAAAAUGGUGCCGUAACUUCGGGAGAAGGCACGCUGAUAUGUAGGUGAAGCGACUUGCUCGUGGAGCUGAAAUCAGUCGAAGAUACCAGCUGGCUGCAACUGUUUAUUAAAAACACAGCACUGUGCAAACACGAAAGUGGACGUAUACGGUGUGACGCCUGCCCGGUGCCGGAAGGUUAAUUGAUGGGGUUAGCGGUAACGCGAAGCUCUUGAUCGAAGCCCCGGUAAACGGCGGCCGUAACUAUAACGGUCCUAAGGUAGCGAAAUUCCUUGUCGGGUAAGUUCCGACCUGCACGAAUGGCGUAAUGAUGGCCAGGCUGUCUCCACCCGAGACUCAGUGAAAUUGAACUCGCUGUGAAGAUGCAGUGUACCCGCGGCAAGACGGAAAGACCCCGUGAACCUUUACUAUAGCUUGACACUGAACAUUGAGCCUUGAUGUGUAGGAUAGGUGGGAGGCUUUGAAGUGUGGACGCCAGUCUGCAUGGAGCCGACCUUGAAAUACCACCCUUUAAUGUUUGAUGUUCUAACGUUGGCCCGUAAUCCGGGUUGCGGACAGUGUCUGGUGGGUAGUUUGACUGGGGCGGUCUCCUCCUAAAGAGUAACGGAGGAGCACGAAGGUUGGCUAAUCCUGGUCGGACAUCAGGAGGUUAGUGCAAUGGCAUAAGCCAGCUUGACUGCGAGCGUGACGGCGCGAGCAGGUGCGAAAGCAGGUCAUAGUGAUCCGGUGGUUCUGAAUGGAAGGGCCAUCGCUCAACGGAUAAAAGGUACUCCGGGGAUAACAGGCUGAUACCGCCCAAGAGUUCAUAUCGACGGCGGUGUUUGGCACCUCGAUGUCGGCUCAUCACAUCCUGGGGCUGAAGUAGGUCCCAAGGGUAUGGCUGUUCGCCAUUUAAAGUGGUACGCGAGCUGGGUUUAGAACGUCGUGAGACAGUUCGGUCCCUAUCUGCCGUGGGCGCUGGAGAACUGAGGGGGGCUGCUCCUAGUACGAGAGGACCGGAGUGGACGCAUCACUGGUGUUCGGGUUGUCAUGCCAAUGGCACUGCCCGGUAGCUAAAUGCGGAAGAGAUAAGUGCUGAAAGCAUCUAAGCACGAAACUUGCCCCGAGAUGAGUUCUCCCUGA